rnacentral:rRNA from 1 species
UGAACGCUGGCGGCGUGCCUAACACAUGCAAGUCGAGCGAGACAGCAGUGAAUGAUUCUUCGGAAGAAUGAUCUGCUAGACAGCGGCGGACGGGUGAGUAACGCGUGGGUAACCUGCCUUAUACUGGGGGAUAACGUUUUGAAAAGAACGCUAAUACCGCAUAAGCGCACAGCAUCACAUGAUGCAGUGUGAAAAACUCCGGUGGUAUAAGAUGGACCCGCGUCAGAUUAGCUAGUUGGUGAGAUAAAAGCUCACCAAGGCGACGAUCUGUAGCCGACCUGAGAGGGUGAUCGGCCACAUUGGGACUGAGACACGGCCCAAACUCCUACGGGAGGCAGCAGUGGGGAAUAUUGCACAAUGGGGGAAACCCUGAUGCAGCGACGCCGCGUGAAGGAUGAAGGUUUUCGGAUCGUAAACUUCUAUCAGCAGGGAAGAUAGUGACUGUACCUGACUAAGAAGCCCCGGCUAACUAC